rnacentral:rRNA from 1 species
GAUGAACGCUGGCGGCGUGCCUAAUACAUGCAAGUCGAGCGGUAAGGCUUUACACAGUUUGUUUAAACGGCAAAGACAGGUCGCGAUUACGAAGUAAUCGUUUCUUAUACGAAGAAUAAACGCUUCGGUCUAAACCACUCUUUAUCUGGCUAGAUAAACGAGUUUGAACAAAGUGUGUAGAGUACACGAGCGGCGGACGGCUGAGUAAUGCAUUGGAACGUACCCCAAACUGAGGGAUAAUCCACCGAAAGGUGGACUAAUACCGCAUGUGCCAUUCGUGGUAAAGCUACGGCGGUUUGGGAGCGGCCAAUGUUCGAUUAGCUAGUUGGUGAGGUAAUAGCUCACCAAGGCUACGAUCGAUAGCGGGUCUGAGAGGAUGAUCCGCCAGACUGGAACUGAGACACGGUCCAGACUCCUACGGGAGGCAGCAGUAGGGAAUUUUCCACAAUGGGGGCAACCCUGAUGGAGCAACGCCGCGUGCAGGAUGAAGGCCCUCGGGUCGUAAACUGCUUUU